ensembl:lncRNA
AAAAAAUAAAAAAAAACAUUUUUUUGUGAAUUGUUGGCCUUCUGGAAAGUAUGUUCAUUUACUGUACAUGUACCCAAUACUUGGUAGGGGCUCCUUUUGCUUUAAUUACUGGCUCAAUUCAGCGUGGCAUGGAGGUGAUCAGUUUGUGGCACUGCUGAGGUGGUAUGGAAGCCCAGGUUUCUUUGACAGUGGCCCUCAGCUCAUAUGCAUUUUUUGGUCUCGUUUCUCAUUUUCCUCUUGACAGUACCCCAUAGAUUCUCUAUGGCAGGGUUCCUCAAAUCUUACCCUGGAGGGCCAAUGCACUGCAGUGUUUAGCUCUAACCCUGAUCAAACUCACCCACCUGUGAUUUUCUAAUGAUCCUGAAGGCAUUGAUUAGCAUGCUCAGGUGUGUUUGAUUAGGGUUACAGCUAAACUCUUCAGGAAAGUGGAUCUCGUGGGCCAGAUUUGAGGAUCCCUGCUCUAUGGGGUUCAGGUCUGGUGAGUUUGCUGGCCAGUCAAGCACACCAACACCAUGGUCACUUAACCAACUUUUGGCAGUGUGGGCAGGUGCCAAAUCCUGCUGGAAAAAUAAAUCGGCAUCUUCAAAAAGCCGGUCAGCAGAAGGAAGCAUGAAGUGCUCCAAAAUUUCUUGGUAAACGGAUGCAGUGACUUUGGUUUUCAAAAAACACAAUGGACCAACACCAGCAGGUGACAUUGCACCCCAAAUCAUCACAGACUGUGGAAACUUAACACUGGACUUCAAGCAACAAGGGCUAUGAGCUUCUCCACCCUUCCUCCAGACUCUUGGUUUCCAAAUGAAAUGCAAAACUUGCUCUCAUCUGAAAAGAGGACUUUGGACCACUGGGCAACAGUCCAGUUCUUCUUCUCCUUAGCCCAGGAAUUUUAAGAGAAGCAUCUGAGAUCGAUACUUAAAUGAAACAUAACUGGGAACUCCAUUACAUCUCCUGAGCAAUGAAAGAGCAGCCUUUGAGUAAUAAAAUGUUCCUCUGGGAAGGUCCAAGAUGGAAAAUGAGAAGUAUGGUUGUAGAUGGCAUGCAGAUUAAGACAG